rnacentral:rRNA from 1 species
AUGGAGGAGGCUGUUAUGGAACUCACCGAGUCAUCCGCUGAUGGUGAAUUAUUGGAUCUGACUACAGUGAGAUGCUGGCCUCCUCAUUGUUCUUGCUGGCCUCCUCAUUGUUCUUCCUAUCAAGCUACUAUUAAAUUGCUUGCGGUCAUCGUGCUCCUCGCCGGACUGGUUGCGCUGGUAGUUGUUGUUGCUACCGUCGCUCACGUCAGUGUACUGGUCGCGCUGGUAGUUAUUGUUGUUGCUACUGCCAUCGUGCGGCUCGCCGGACCGCGGCUGGUGGUGGUUCUGCACUGCGUUUGGCGUCGGCGGGCGCUGCAGGUUCUUGACACGCAGUUAUUCUGGUGGGAGCCGUGGCUAUGUGAUUCUGGCCGGCGUGCAUGCAUAGUCGGAGGACGCCGAGCCUUUCUUGAUGCCGGCGACAUCAGCUCAUGUCAGCAUGAGGCACCUUUGUCAUUUUGUUCAAGCAUAUUCGUCUCAGUGCAUUCAUCCUCUGAGCUAUCUGAUAUUGCAACAGAUCUAAGUCUCCUUUUAUUGCCACUUCGGAGCACAUGUGAUGAUGAUGAUACUUUGUCUUGA